GGUGAACGCUGGCGGCGUGCCUAAUACAUGCAAGUAGAACGCUGAAGGAGGAGCUUGCUCUUCUGGAUGAGUUGCGAACGGGUGAGUAACGCGUAGGUAACCUGCCUGGUAGCGGGGGAUAACUAUUGGAAACGAUAGCUAAUACCGCAUGACAACAGUUAUUGCAUGAUAACUGUUUAAAAGGGGCAACUGCUCCACUACCAGAUGGACCUGCGUUGUAUUAGCUAGUUGGUGAGGUAACGGCUCACCAAGGCGACGAUACAUAGCCGACCUGAGAGGGUGAUCGGCCACACUGGGACUGAGACACGGCCCAGACUCCUACGGGAGGCAGCAGUAGGGAAUCUUCGGCAAUGGACGGAAGUCUGACCGAGCAACGCCGCGUGAGUGAAGAAGGUUUUCGGAUCGUAAAGCUCUGUUGUAAGAGAAGAACGAGUGUGAGAGUGGAAAGUUCACGCUGUGACGGUAUCUUACCAGAAAGGGACGGCUAACUACGUG
rnacentral:rRNA from 1 species